rnacentral:tRNA from 1 species
GCAGUUGUAGCUCAGAGCCAGAGCACCGGUCUUGUAAACCGGGCGCCGGAAGUUAGAAUCCUCCCUACUGCU